GUUAGGUCUCUUGGCUCUGCCAGACUCCCUUAUUCCCCCAGCCUCCGAGAGGAAACCCUACAUGUUUCCCCAUUAUACAGCCUCAUCCAUCCCAACUAGGAGACUUCCUGGCUGCUCAAAGCCUCCAGUAUCCUCCUCGGCCCCAACCCAAUAGAUGUGGGAGAUGAACAAGAGGAGUCACUUCUACUGUCCUGGAUUCCUGUAUCCCAGCCCACACAUCCCCUCUCCAUGCAGCACCAGCUCAUAUCAAGUGCUGGCGUAAGCAGGAGGGUAAAGCAGAGCACAGCCAGCUGAAACCACAUCCUCGAGAGAGUCAGAGAAGAUGGGAAAGGCAGCCCCCUCAGCCCCCUGCAAUAUUUGGGUCGUUCACACAGAGCCAGUCAUCUGCAGAGCCUUCAGGCCUCACUACUGCUGUGUUGCAACAGAAAGCUGAUCACCAUCGCAGUCUACAUGUAGAUCCUGGACGGCACCACCCCAGUCAAUGAGGUUUUGGUAGGAGCUAGAUCACAAACACCAUCUCCUCCUGCUCAAAGAGGCUGGAGCAGCCAUCACAAGACGCUGACCCACAUAAGUGAGCAUCCAGGGUGCUUUGAAUCAUGGAGACCCACAGACCUGAACAGCCCUUCAUUUCCAGCGCUGCACUUUUAUCAGCCACUCAAAGCAAUGAGAUCACUCAGAGAAACAGCAAUAACGGGCCUCGAUGCUAUAGAUAACCCGCCAUUCUGCACAGGGCGAGGUGAUGAAGAGGCUUCCCAGCAGCACAGUAUUAAAAUAAUAGCCAAAAAAAUAAGACAAUUAGAAAAUGCAAUUUUCCAGCGGGUGCAUUUAAAGAUCUUAUCUCCCACCGGGAGGCAAACCAAUUUCCUUAUAAAUUAAAAAUAAUUCAGCUCA